rnacentral:sRNA from 1 species
GUGAAGCGCGUUAAGGAUUGAUGCGGCAUCCUUUUGCUUUUUUUGCAAAAGAUAUAGCGGAAAGCCUGACCAAUA